rnacentral:rRNA from 1 species
AUUGAACGCUGGCGGCAGGCCUAACACAUGCAAGUCGAGCGAGCGCGGGACGGGUGAGUAAUGUAUGGGGAAUGUCCGAUAGAGAGGGAUAACACCUGGAAACGGUAGCUCAUACCGCAUACUAUCGGAUAGUCCACAUGGGAUUAGCUAGUAGGUGAGGUAAUGUCUCACCUAGGCGACGAUCCCUAGCUGGUCUGAGAGGAUGAUCAGCCACACUGGAACUGAGACACGGCCCAGACUCCUACGGAGGCAGCAGUGGGGAAUAUUGCACAAUGGGCGCAAGCCUGAUGCAGCCAUGCCGCGUGUAUGAAGAAGGCCCUAGGGUUGUAAAGUACUUUCAGCGGGGAGGCGUUACCGACAGAAGAAGCACCGGCUAACUCCGUGCCAGCAGCCGCGGUAAUUC